rnacentral:rRNA from 1 species
UACAGAGGGUGCGAGCGUUGUCCGGAAUCACUGGGCGUAAAGGGCGCGUAGGCGGCCUGAUAAGUAGGGGGUGAAAUCCUGUGGCUUAACUGCAGGGCUGCCUCCUAGACUGUUAGGCUCGAGCACGGUAGAGGCAGAUGGAAUUCCCGGUGUAGCGGUGGAAUGCGUAGAUAUUGGAAGGAACAUCUGUGGCGAAGGCGACCUUCUGGACAGAUACUGACACUGAGGCACGAAAGCGUGGGGAGCAAACAGG